rnacentral:rRNA from 1 species
ACUACGGGAGGCAGCAGUGGGGGAUAUUGCACAAUGGGGGGAACCCUGAUGCAGCGACGCCGCGUGGGUGAAGAAGCGCCUCGGCGCGUAAAGCCCUGUCAGCAGGGAAGAAAAUGACGGUACCUGAAGAAGAAGCCCCGGCUAACUACGUGCCAGCAGCCGCGGUAAUACGUAGGGGGCAAGCGUUAUCCGGAUUUACUGGGUGUAAAGGGGGCGCAGACGGCGAUGCAAGCCAGGAGUGAAAGCCCGGGGCCCAACCCCGGGACUGCUCUUGGAACUGCGUGGCUGGAGUGCAGGAGGGGCAGGCGGAAUGCCUGGUGUAGCGGUGAAAUGCGUAGAUAUCAGGAGGAACACCGGUGGCGAAGGCGGCCUGCUGGACUGCAACUGACGUUGAGGCCCGAAAGCGUGGGGAGCAAACAGGAUUAGAUACCCCAGUAGUC